GACAACUAAAAUGAGAGGAGGGAAUACUUAACUUAGAAUCCUUCUAACUGUAUCAACUGUUUUUUAUACUUCCCGCUAAGCCCAUGAAAUCAAACGGCUAAAUCUCCCCAAUUUAUCUACAUAAAUACUUUCCGCUUUAAAAAUGGCAAUGUUAUCAGCUCUUACAUUCUUUUCUAGCUACACCUUUCAAGUAAACACAUCAAUGUUCAAAACAAAAUCUACCAAGAACCAUCAACCAAAAACACUGCCCAAAUCAUCUCUUACUGACAAAUAUACCCCCCAAUCGAUAGACGUAGAUGUCUCCAAUGCCCGAAAGAAUCAGUUGCUGACAAGAAAUCUUGUUUCUCAUGUUAAUUCUGGGGAUAUAGAGAGUGCACUCUAUCUGUUUGAGAGAAUGCCUAAAUCAGACACUUUUGUUUGGAAUGUUUUGAUUAGGGGGUUAACUGAUAAUGGAUUUUUUCGAGAAGCGGUUGAUUUGUACUAUCGUAUGUGUUUUAGUGGGGUUCGAGCUGAUAACUUUACAUUUCCGUUUGUUAUAAAGGCGUGUGGUGAAUUGUGUGAUUUAAGGGAAGGGGAAAAGGUACAUGCUAAGGUGUAUAAAGCUGGGUUGAAUUUUGAUCUUUAUGUUUGUAAUGCUCUUAUUUGUAUGUAUGCAAAGCUUGGUUAUAUUGAUUGUGCUGAAAGGGUGUUUUUGGGAAUGGAAAGUAGAGACUUGGUUUCGUGGAAUUCUAUGAUUAGUGCUUAUGCAAUAGUUGGUGAUGGAUGGAGCUCGCUUUUGUGUAUCAAGAAAAUGCAAUCAGUUGGAAUAGAACAUGACAAGUUUACACUAAUCAGCAGUCUUAAAGCUUGUUCACUUCUGUGUUCAUUGUUAAUUGGGAAGGAAAUUCACGGCCAGGUUAUCAAGAGUACAUUCAGAUUGGAUGUUGUAGUUCAAACAUCGCUUAUUGACAUGUAUGGAAAAUGUUGUCACGUGCAGUAUGCAUAUAAUCUGUUUAACCGGAUUCCAGAGAGGGGUAUUAUAACUUGGAAUGCUAUGAUUGGAUGUUAUGCACUAAAUUUGCGCCCACUUGAGUCCUUUAGCUGCUUCAGAAAUAUGCAAAAAAGUGGCGUGGUGCAUCCGGAUAAAAUAACAUUAAUAAAUUUGCUUCCAUCAUGUGCACAAGUUGGUGCCCUGCUGCCAGGAAAAUCUAUACAUGGUUUUGCCAUUAGGAAGGAGUUUCUACCUCAUUUAGUAUUGGAGACAACUCUAAUUGACAUGUAUGGAAAGUUGCAGGAGCUCAGACUGGCCGAACAAGUUUUUGAUCAAAUGAAUGUGAAAAAUAUGAUCUCAUGGAAUGCAAUUAUUGCUGCCUACGUGCAAAAUGGGCAGAGUAGACAAGCCCUGAAAUUAUUCAGCAAUCUCGUAUACAAGCAUUGUAAACCAGAUGCAUCGACAAUUUCAAGCAUCCUUCCUGCCUACUCGGAUAUAGCCUCAUUGACAGAGGGAAAACAAAUCCAUGGCUACAUUAUACAAAAUGAAUUUUCGGCUAAUAAUUAUAUCUCAAAUUCAAUUAUUUACAUGUAUGCAAGAUGUGGGGAUCUCCUGAGCGCUCAACAGAUUUUUGAUAGGAUGUACAAUAAGGAUGUCAUUUCAUGGAACACAAUAAUUAUGGCUUAUGGUAUUCAUGGAUUUGGGAAAGAAUCUCUUGAACUGUUCUGCAGGAUGAGGGAAAAUAAUAUUGAACCCAAUGCAAGCACUUUUGUUUCUGUCCUAUCUUCCUGUAGUAUUGCUGGCUUGGAUGAAGAAGGAUGGAAGCACUUCCACCUAAUGAAAAGGGAGUAUGGGAUCGAUCCUCAAAUCGAGCACUAUGGUUCUAUGCUUGAUCUUCUAGGUCGUAAAGGAGAUCUUGAUAAGGCUAAGGAAUUUAUCCAUGAGAUGCCAUUGGCUCCAACAGCUAGGAUAUGGGGAUCUCUGUUGGCUGCAAGCAGACACCAUAGAAACAUAGAGUUAGCUGAAGUUGCAGCUAACCAUAUCCUAAGUUUAGCGCAUGAUAAUACAGGAUGCUACAUUGUGCUGUCUAAUAUGUAUGCAGAAGUUGGGAGAUGGGAAGAUGUAGAGCGGAUCAAAGAUCUUAUGAGUGAGCAAGGAAUGGCGAAAACAAUUGGAUUUAGUGAUAUAGAGGUCAACUAUAAGACUAUCAGGUUUGUAAAUCAUGAUAGAUUCCACCUUGAGACUGACAGAAUAUAUGAUGUCCUAUCUAUCCUUUUAAGGCAGAUAGGGGAAGAAUUGUUUGUCAGUCUUCAAAAGUUUAGGCCAGUUGAUUUAAUUAGAACAAGAUUAAAUUCCCCAAAAUGUCACAGUGUGAGAUUAGCAAUAUCCUAUGGAUUGAUAUCUAUAUCAAUUGGGAAACCUAUAGUCAUUAAGAAAAACAUUAGGAUUUGUAGGGAUUGCCAUGAUGCAGCAAAGAAGAUAUCGGAUAUCACGAAUAGGGAGAUAGUAGUGGGAGAUUCAAAGAUAUAUCACCACAUCAAAGAUGGCCACUGCUCGUGUAAAGAUUACUGGUGAUUUUUGUGUUUAUGUGAUAUGCAACUGAGGAAGAGUAUUUAGUGACAGCUGGUGACAAUCUUAGAUACAGGAACUUGUUACAUAACACUAUUAUGAAGACAGGAAUCAUAUAGAUCCAUCACACUUGCAGUAAGGUAUGUGUAGCAAUUUCACAGGGAUGUAUACAAUAAAAGAGAAGAUGCUCAAUGUACAGGACAAAAUAUUAGUGGUACUAAGUAAGAUGCACACAAUCACUUAAUCUCAUCAUUCAUGCUCUAAAUUGAUAAACUAAUGAUAAAUAAUAACUUUAAUUAAACAUAUAUAUUAUAGGCCAAAAUACUUGUCACUCAGAGGAAACAAUCUGAGAGUUCUGCUAUUGUUACUAUUAUGGUUGAAUCUACUGUUUUUAUCACUCAUGGCUGCAGGGCUGAGUACUUCUCAUCACUCAAAACGCGCAAAAAGCCUUGUAAGUAUUGUACUGAGAAGAGGAACAAGUGCAAGCAACGCUAGUUGGGAGUAUUCAGUGCUUUUUAAGCCGAUACUCACUUGUCCUUCCCCACUGUUAUUAAGCUU